rnacentral:rRNA from 1 species
UACGUAGGGUGCGAGCGUUAAUCGGAAUUACUGGGCGUAAAACGUGCGCAGGCGGUUCGUUGUGUCGGCGGUGAAAGCCCCGGGCUUAACCUGGGAAUGGCCGUUGAAACUGGCGAACUGGAGUGUGGCAGAGGGGGGUGGAAUUCCGCGUGUAGCAGUGAAAUGCGUAGAGAUGCGGAGGAACACCGAUGGCGAAGGCAGCCCCCUGGGCUAACACUGACGCUCAGGCACGAAAGCGUGGGGAGCAAACAGG